rnacentral:snoRNA from 1 species
UAAAUUGAGGCUGCUAAAACACAGGGCUGCGCAGCAUCCUUGCACCUGCGCAGCCGACAGGUACGGGUGACCGUUUAUCCCGGGCCCACGUGGAUCCGAGCAGGCACGGUCAAAGACUU